UUCCUGAUAGCUGAAAGGUAAAGCGUAUGGCUGUUAACCAUUAGAUUGUAGGUUCGAAUCCUACUCAGGAAGA
rnacentral:tRNA from 1 species